rnacentral:lncRNA from 1 species
UUUCCCGAUUUCUUGAGCGAGAAAAGAAGAUCACACUCAGCUGCAUCUCGAGAAUCAGCAGAACAGCCAACUGGGGCAUUAAAAAAAAAAGAGAAAAAAGAAAAAAAGAAAAAAAGAGGAAAAAAGAGAAAGAGGAGGGUGCAAAAUCAAAAGAAAUCCAAAUCAAAAGAAAGAAAAAGAAAGAAAAAAACAAAAGAGAAAUAGCACCCUCAAAGUCCCAAGUUGACUGAUGCUGAACCCGGCUGAAAGAAGGAAGAGAUCAACUGCCAUGUGUCAUGGUCAGUCAUAUCAGCAGAGAGUGAAAAA